CUGAGUGAGGGCCCUCUGGGUCCAACCUCCCACCCGUGUUUAUUGUACCUUGUUGCUUCGGUGAGCCCGCCUCACGGCCGCCGGGGGGCUUCUGCCCCCGGGCCCGCGCCCACCGAAGACACCAUUGAACUCUGUCUGAAGAUUGCAGUCUGAGCAAUUAGUUAAAUAACUUA
rnacentral:misc_RNA from 1 species